UGCUUCUUUUUCACGUUCCCUUUCUCUUUCUCUUUCUCUUUCCUUCUCUUUUUCCUUGUUUUGUGCUUCAGAUAAAGUGGAGAAAACUUUCCACAUAUCUUCAUCUGGAUUUAAAGAAAGAGAAGAAGAAGACCCAACAACUUCAUCCACACCAGUAUCUUUGUCUGAUUUAUCAUUCUU
rnacentral:ribozyme from 13 species